rnacentral:rRNA from 1 species
CAGUCGAACGAUGAAGUCCUAGCUUGCUAGGAUGGAUUAGUGGCGCACGGGUGAGUAAUAUAUAGUUAAUCUGCCCUACACAGAGGAACAACAGUUGGAAACGGCUGCUAAUACCUCAUACUCCUAUUUAACAUAAGUUAAAUAGGGAAAGUCUUUUCGGUGUAGGAUGAGACUAUAUCGUAUCAGCUAGUUGGUAAGGUAAUGGCUUACCAAGGCUAUGACGCGUAACUGGUCUGAGAGGAUGAUCAGUCACAUUGGAACUGAGACACGGUCCAAACUCCUACGGGAGGCAGCAGUAAGGAAUAUUGCGCAAUGGGGGAAACCCUGACGCAGCAACGCCGCGUGGAGGAUGACACUUUUCGGAGCGUAAACUCCUUUUAUCAGGAAAGAAUAAUGACGGUACCUGAUGAAUAAGCACCGGCUAACUCCGUGCCAGCAGCCGCGGUAAUACGGGGGGUGCAAGCGUUACUCGGAAUCACUGGGCGUAAAGGACGCGUAGGCGGAUUAUCAAGUCUUUUGUGAAAUCUAGUGGCUUAACCACUAAACUGCUUAGGAAACUGAUAGUCUAGAGUAGGGGAGAGGUAGAUGGAAUUCUUGGUGUAGGGGUAAAAUCCGUAGAGAUCAAGAAGAAUACCCAUUGCGAAAGCGAUCUGCUGGAACCUAACUGACGCUGAGGCGUGAAAGCGUGGGUAGCAAACAGGAUUAGAUACCCUGGUAGUCCACGCCCUAAACGAUGUAUACUAGUUGUUGCUUUGCUAGU